CCCCAAUUUUCUUCACCUUCCGGUGAAAUUGGAACAAACCCGAACCAGCCUUCACCCUUCCAUUUCUCCUCCUUCUCCAGCGAACAAACACCAACGAGUUCCGAGCUCGCGAAUCAAAACCUCUCAAAGAACCGGUGCCAACAGGUGGAAAUUGACCAGAUCUCGCACCGCCAAGUUCCGAUGGACAACUCGAAGCAACACCAGAAACUCCAGCCAACACAAAACCAAUGUACACAGAUUUGCUUCCAAUUGAAGCUAUUAGAAUUACGUUUGAAUUAUACUCUUUAUUCAUUAUCUUGUAUAUAUUGACAUUAGAUAGCUCUAGGUUGUUUUUUUAUAAUAUCUUAUUUAUUACUUUUGUAUGUUACAUGUUUAUUAUACUCGUACAUUAUUUUA